CAAUGAUCGAGUCUGACUUUCUCUCAAUAAAAAUCAAACUCAAACUGCUGACUUCAAAAUUUCCAAGUCUGAAUCCAAGGGAAGAAGGAACUUUGGAGCCAAUUCCGCUUGCAUAGUUCGCCACCUUAGAGGGAUCGAGUCAAAUAAAACCUACCACUAAGAACAAGAAGACACAAUAUCGCAUGUAACGAUGAUCAUUGACGUGCCAUUCUGAUAUUUGCAAGAUCAUCUAGAAGCAGUUUCACCUGGAUAGCUAAACGACCGAACAAGAAGGAAGCAACGGCAGGACAUCAUCACUCGGAGCUUGAAUUCAAGGCAACGGCAGGCGAUGGCAAUGAUCUACAUCUGGCGUGUCUGAAAGUCUUUCUGGUGGGGAAAUCGCUAGUCGGAGACAACGAACGUGACUUGGAAUCUCUGUCCACUCCGAGAUCAGCGUCGAGGCAGAGCGAGCGCUCCUUUCUUUGGUCGGAUCUACAGCAACAUCCUCGCGUGGCGGAGGAGGAGGGGAGAGAAAAGGGCAGGCUAGGGGAAAAAGCUGAAACGUUGGGGUAAUGGAGCUGAUGGGUCUGGGCCGGUG
rnacentral:lncRNA from 1 species